UGCAAGUCGAGCGCCCAGCAAUGGGAGCGGCAGACGGGUGAGUAACGCGUGGGGAUCUACCCAUUGGUACGGAAUAACCCAGGGAAACUUGGACUAAUACCGUAUGUGCCCUUCGGGGGAAAGAUUUAUCGCCAAUGGAUGAACCCGCGUCGGAUUAGCUAGUUGGUGAGGUAAAGGCUCACCAAGGCGACGAUCCGUAGCUGGUCUGAGAGGAUGAUCAGCCACACUGGGACUGAGACACGGCCCAGACUCCUACGGGAGGCAGCAGUGGGGAAUAUUGGACAAUGGGCGCAAGCCUGAUCCAGCCAUGCCGCGUGAGUGAUGAAGGCCUUAGGGUUGUAAAGCUCUUUCGCCGGUGAAGAUAAUGACGGUAACCGGAGAAGAAGCCCCGGCUAACUUCGUGCCAGCAGCCGCGGUAAUACGAAGGGGGCUAGCGUUGCUCGGAAUCACUGGGCGUAAAGCGCACGUAGGCGGAUCGUUAAGUCAGGGGUGAAAUCCUGGGGCUCAACCUCAGAACUGCCCUUGAUACUGGCGAUCUCGAGUUCGAGAGAGGUUGGUGGAACUCCGAGUGUAGAGGUGAAAUUCGUAGAUAUUCGGAAGAACACCAGUGGCGAAGGCGGCCAACUGGCUCGAUACUGACGCUGAG
rnacentral:rRNA from 1 species